UACGGGGGGGGCAAGCGUUGUUCGGAAUUACUGGGCGUAAAGGGCUCGUAGGUGGCCAACUACGUCAGACGUGAAAUCCCCAGGCUCAACUUGGGAACUGCGUCUGAUACUGGAUGGCUUGAAUUCGGGAGAGGGAUGCAGAAUUCCAGGUGUAGCGGUGAAAUGCGUAGAUAUCUGGAGGAAUACCGGUGGCGAAGGCGGCAUCCUGGACCGAUAUUGACACUGAGGAGCGAAAGCCAGGGGAGCAAACGGG
rnacentral:rRNA from 1 species